GGACUCCACGGGCUUGUCAAAAUUCCCAAAAAUGAUCCCCUCAAUGAAGUUCAUAACUUUAACUUUUAUUUGUCAAAUGUGGGCAAAGACAACCCUCAGGGCAGCUUUGACUGCAUCCAGCAAACAUUCUCCAGCUCUGGAGCCUCCCAGCUCAAUUGCCUGGGAUUUAUACAAGAUAAAAUUACAGUGUGUGCAACAAACGACUCGUAUCAGAUGACACGAGAAAGAAUGACCCAGGCAGAGGAGGAAUCCCGCAACCGAAGCACAAAAGUUAUCAAACCCGGUGGACCAUAUGUAGGUUUGUAUAGAUAUCUUUCUUCCUCUUGCUGAUUGAUUGGAGUAAUUCAAGAUCACCAUAGGUAAAUACCAGUAAUAUUAACUUAAUGAAAACACAGAAACUAGUUUUCAGAACAUUUUGGAUAACGGUGAGAAAAACAAAGUUAUUUGUUCUCUUCAGACUGCCAGUAAAUUGAAGAGCAUAUUUUAAAGUUCUAUGACUUUCCUAAAUCCUGAAUCUUCGUUGGCUACUUACUAUUAUUUUAUAGUACUGGGAUCUGGUCACAUUACUGCGUGAAGUUGCAAUCGUGGUACCGUUGUGUUUUCUUUGUCACUAGAUGAUGUAAUUUCAGUGAUGGAUACUAUGGUUCUUGUUUUGCCUUUUUGUAGGGCUAUUUUUAUAGUAAAAUCUAUUAGUAGAAUUUAUGGAUUGAUAAUCUCAUUGUUGUAGAUUUUGCUUACAUU
rnacentral:sRNA from 1 species